rnacentral:sRNA from 1 species
AUGCCUAUCACUUGAAUCUGGAUUUUAGUCAUCAUUUCUCAUUCGCGGUUUAUCUAUGACGUAAGCUAAUUCACCAAAUUCCCGCAAAUUUGCAAACAAAUGAAAAUAUUCUCAUUUUCGCUUUAUAUUUUGCAUUUGGAGGCUUAGAGUGCAGGUCUGUUCAAGUACGAUUUUAACAUAUGUUUUAAUUCAGAUAGUUAUACAAAUUAUUCUUAAAAAAUGGUACUUGAGCAAGCCUGCGCUUGAUGUUUCCCAGUCGAAAAACCAUCGAAAAAUACCCAUAUUUUGCUACAAAACAUCAAUUUAUCAAAAUAAGGCAAUGUUUAGGACGUAGUUUCUACAUUAUGACGUCACUGUAGUGAUAACUUUUUAUACCCUUAUUUUCAAUACGAUUUAACUAUCUUUCACCUUAUUUCUACAGCUCUUGAUAAAACUUUGAUGGGGGGGGGGGGGUGCAAAAAAUGCAUAAUGCUGCACAAGUCCUCUAUUCUUUAAGACAAGUUUCACUAUAAUUUUUAAUUAGGUACAAAAAAGUUUUCUAAAUGUAAAUUUCAGAUUAAAAGUUUGUUUUUGAAAAAAAAAUGCUUAAUAUUCAAACACAACGAGCAUUAAAUUCUAUAAUAAUUUCAUUUUAAAAUACGUAGUCGCCUCGAUGUCGUUUAAUGUACAUGUACAAAUACAAUGUAUUUCUGAUAAUGAAACUUAAACUAUUCCAUUUAUUGAUCGUGUCAGGAACAAUUUAAAAAAUUUCUUGAAUAUUUCUAGUCUACAUAUUGGAAUGAUAUAGUCUUAUCGAUUGCGUGUACUGUAAUUCGAUUCUAAAGUCCUGAUAGAAGGGAAAAUGUUUUUUUUUAAAAAUAGUCCGGUACCAAAUAAUUAUGAAUUUUAUACAUUGUGCUCAAUUUUGCUGAUUUCGUCUCUCUGAAAGAGGCAAUCAACCUGUUUCUAAAUAAAGGGACUCUCUUGAAGAUAAUAUGGGUAAGCCAGUGAUGAUUCUUGGUGCAUAGAGUUGAACUUUUUCUAAUUUUUCGACAUCUUGUAACGAACAACCAUCCCAGACAACAGAGCAGUAUUAAAUUAAAGGUCGAAUAAACAUAAUGUACAUUUUUGAUAAAGUAUUUCUUUCUAUGUUAAAUUUGAGCUUCUUCAAAAGGCCUAGUCUUUGGUAUGCAUUUUUAACAAUAUUAUCUAUAUACUCUGACCAGCAAAGGUUCUGACGAAAAAGUAUUCCUAAGUGUUUGUGUAAUGAAACAUAUUCUAAUCGACUAUUUUGGAAUUGGAGUUUGGGAGAGUAAGAAUUUGUUUUGAGUGUAAAAAAUAUUGCUUUUAUUUUGGAUGGAUUAAAUUUCAACAGCCAAUUGGAUGACCAGUUUUCUAGAACUUUCAGAUCAUGAUUCAGGACAUAUUCAAUAUUGGCAACAUUGUAUGAAAAAAAUUGUAAAGAGUUAUAUUAACAUUGCCGCUGUGUUCCAUAUGUAUAUUCUAUGUUUUGUUAAUGUUAUAUUUGUUUGUUUUAUUUGAUGUAAAACUGAUAUAAUGAAUAAAUCUAUAUAAAUAUAAAAAAAAA